CCUACGGGGGGCAGCAGUGAGGAAUAUUGGUCAAUGGACGAGAGUCUGAACCAGCCAAGUAGCGUGAAGGAUGACUGCCCUAUGGGUUGUAAACUUCUUUUAUAUGGGAAUAAAAUGUUCCACGUGUGGGCUUUUGUAUGUACCAUAUGAAUAAGGAUCGGCUAACUCCGUGCCAGCAGCCGCGGUAAUACGGAGGAUCCGAGCGUUAUCCGGAUUUAUUGGGUUUAAAGGGAGCGUAGGUGGAUUGUUAAGGCAGUUGUGAAAGUGUGCGGCUCAACCGUAAAAUUGCAGUUGAAACUGGCAGUCUUGAGUACAGUAGAGGUGGGCGGAAUUCGUGGUGUAGCGGUGAAAUGCUUAGAUAUCACGAAGAACUCCGAUUGCGAAGGCAGCUCACUGGACUGCAACUGACACUGAGGCUCGAAAGUGUGGGUAUCAAACAGGAUUAGAUACCCCAGUAGUC
rnacentral:rRNA from 1 species